UCCGCAUUGGUCUAGUGGCUAGGAUCACUCGCUCUCACCGAGUAGGCCGGGGUUCGAUUCCCCGAUGCGGAA